AACAUACUUAAGUCGAUAUUUUAACUCAACUUUGAGAUUUUGCUCAAUUGUUGUGAUGAGUUAAACACCUUGCUUAAAUUGGUGAUCACGAAACGUUUUUGAGUACUGAGUCUAACUCAUCUUUGAGUUUGAGCACAACUAUUUGAGCAAGCGUUCAACCUGUCUCAAGUUGUAAAGCAGUACUCAAACAUGGCCGCUUUUGAUGAACGCAUUCAACGUUUACGAGGACAUUAGCCGAUUUAACGCGUUUUUGAGGUAAGCAGCAAAGAAAAAGUAAGCGAUAUAUAUCGAUUUCACCCGGAAACUAUUUAUAUAUUUCAUUGUUGGAUUGCUGAUUUAUAAAUUGGACGCACCGACUGCCGAUGCAAUAUUUGCUGUCAGUUUUGAUAGUAAAUAGGGCAAAGAAACCUUUGUUUGACACCUUUAUCAUUGCUAAAUUGAAUUGAUUUUCAAAGGCAAAUACGUAGAAUUUAACCACAAAACGUAUAGAGUAGUUCCCCUUUGUUGACAUAGCAUUUGACAACGCGUGCCUUGGUUUUAGCAUAACAUUUUAACGAUGAAUGUUUUAAUACUGUAUAAAUGAAAUCUUACGAUAAUAAGUUGGAGACAGUAUAGUACCAGAAAGGCCGUUUACCAAAAGGCGUUGGCGGAAAACCAUCAUCAACUGGAGAUAUAAAACCGAUUUUCACAAGAACCAGCUUUUAUGCAUUUGAAAUGUAGUUGGAGCAGUAGACGGGACUGUAAUUCUAAUUAUAAAACCAGCUGAAUCUGAAGAAGCUGAUGUGUGCAGGAAAGGGUUUAUUAACAUUACUGAGCGGCUGUCAUUGAUGCCAACAUGAGAUGCCUGCAUUGCACUGGUGGAUGCCUGACUUUCCAAGCCAAAUGAGUGCUGUAGAACAGCAAAAAUUUGCAUUCGCCUGCUCAACCUGUGCUUGGAAUUAUUCAUUCCGCUGAUAGAGAUAGAAGUUUUGGACAUGAUGGAUCCAGCGGUUACAAACAACGCACCAGUAAAGAGAGCAGAAGUCAAUAAGAGGCAUCAGCUGAUCGAACUGUUCAGUUGAAAAUGUCGUCAAGUGAUUGCUAUAUAUAGGAUCUGGCACGAGUUGCCAUAUCAUACCAUAUUUUAUUAAACUCGUCCAGGAAUUGUGUUAGUAAGCUUGCCUUUUAUGAAAUGCCAACAAGUGUCAUAUCUUUUUUAUCACAUGUGUUUAAAUGAGCAAAUAAAUAUUUACGCAAACAUAAUGAUAAAUCCCGAAUGUUGUUUACAUUUCGUGACGUCAUUUGAUGUUGCAACGGCAUUUCAGCAAAAUAACAAAAUGCGAUUGGUCAAUCAAACGAAAUCUAAGCCGAUGAAAACGCUAAAAAAGUAUAUAACACAUGUGUAAGAUAAAAAUAUUUGAAAUGGUUAUAUUACAUGGGGAACAGGGUAUGACAUGUGAUAAAACUAUUUAUUAAAGUGAUAUAUUGCCGUAAUAUUUUAUUUUAUUUUCUCCAAAUAGGAAGAGCUAUACUACACACCCAAAUAUCAGCUUCUGCUUCCUCAUACUUUAGUUCAAGUAAACACCCAAUACCGGCAUAUAAGUUUACGAAAGAAAUUGUAAUUAAAUAUUUUUCAUAUUUAUUCAAGCUCCAGAAAAGAUCAUAUACUGAAGGUACUUUUCCCUAUCCCGUGUUAGCGUUGGAAUGUCAAAGUUUGCGUACCACCUUAAAUAUUUUCAAUGUCCCUUGACAUAUUGCUUUCAUAUUUUGAAUACUUCUUUUCCAACAUGACCCCAAUCUAUAAACAAGAGCAGGCAACUUUAACAAGCAUUUUGUAAGUAU